rnacentral:rRNA from 1 species
CUACGGGUCGCUGCAGUGAGGAAUAUUGCACAAUGGGGGGAACCCUGAUGCAGCAACGCCGCGUGGAGGAUGACGCAUUUCGGUGUGUAAACUCCUUUUAUAUGUCAAGAAAAUGACGGUAGCAUAUGAAUAAGCACCGGCUAACUCCGUGCCAGCAGCCGCGGUAAUACGGAGGGUGCAAGCGUUACUCGGAAUCACUGGGCGUAAAGGACGCGUAGGCGGGUUGGAAAGUCAGGUGUGAAAUCCUACAGCUUAACUGUAGAACUGCACUUGAAACUUCUAAUCUAGAGUAUGGGAGGGGGAGAUGGAAUUAGUGGCGUAGGGGUAAAAUCCGUAGAUACCACUAGGAAUACCUAAAGCGAAGGCGAUCUCCUGGAACAUUACUGACGCUAAGGCGUGAAAGCGUGGGGAGCAAACAGGAUUAGAUACCCCGGUAGUC